UACGUAGGGGGCAAGCGUUGUCCGGAAUCAUUUGGGCGUAAAGAGCGCGUAGGCGGCCCGAUAAGUCCGCUGUGAAAGUCAAAGGGCUCAACCUUGAAUGCCGGUGGAUACUGUCGGGCUAGAGUCCGGAAGAGCGAGUGGAAUCCUGGUGUAGCGGUGAAAUGACGCAGAUAUCAGGAGGAACACCGGUGGCGAAGGCGGGUCUCUGGGCCGAAACUGACGCUGAGGAGCGAAAGCGUGGGGAGCGAACAGG
rnacentral:rRNA from 1 species